rnacentral:tRNA from 1 species
GCCCGGAUGGUGAAAUAGGUAGACACAAGAGACUUAAAAUCUCUCGAUCGAAAGGUCGUACCGGUUCGAUUCCGGUUCCGGGCACCA